rnacentral:rRNA from 1 species
UACGUAGGGUGCAAGCGUUGUCCGGAAUUAUUGGGCGUAAAGAGCUCGUAGGCGGUUUGUCGCGUCUGCUGUGAAAGACCGGGGCUCAACUCCGGUUCUGCAGUGGGUACGGGCAGACUAGAGUGAUGUAGGGGAGACUGGAAUUCCUGGUGUAGCGGUGAAAUGCGCAGAUAUCAGGAGGAACACCGGUGGCGAAGGCGGGUCUCUGGGCCGAUACUGACGCUGAGGAGCGAAAGCGUGGGGAGCGAACAGG